CCUACGGGUGGCAGCAGUGAGGAAUAUUGGUCAAUGGACGAGAGUCUGAACCAGCCAAGUAGCGUGAAGGAUGACUGCCCUAUGGGUUGUAAACUUCUUUUAUAUGGGAAUAAAAUGUUCCACGUGUGGGAUUUUGUAUGUACCAUAUGAAUAAGGAUCGGCUAACUCCGUGCCAGCAGCCGCGGUAAUACGGAGGAUCCGAGCGUUAUCCGGAUUUAUUGGGUUUAAAGGGAGCGUAGGUGGAUUGUUAAGUCAGUUGUGAAAGUUUGCGGCUCAACCGUAAAAUUGCAGUUGAAACUGGCAGUCUUGAGUACAAUAGAGGUGGGCGGAAUUCGUGGUGUAGCGGUGAAAUGCUUAGAUAUCACGAAGAACUCCGAUUGCGAAGGCAGUUCACUGGACUGCAACUGACACUGAGGCUCGAAAGUGUGGGUAUCAAACAGGAUUAGAUACCCUAGUAGUC
rnacentral:rRNA from 1 species